rnacentral:rRNA from 1 species
GACGUAGGUGGCGAACGUUAUCCGGAAUUAUUGGGCGUAAAGGGUGCGUAGAUGGCCUGAUAAGUUAGCAGUGGGAAAUCGAGGCUCAACCUCGUGGAAGCUGGUAAUACUGUCAGGCUCGAGUGUAGGAGAGGUUAACGGAACUCCAUGUGGAGCGGUAAAAUGUGUAGAUAUAUGGAAGAACACCAAUAACGGCGAAGGCAGUUAACUAUUCUGUUACUGACAUUGAGGCACGAAAGCGUGGGGAGCAAAACGG